CCUUUUGGCUAAGAUCAAGUGUAGUAU
rnacentral:ncRNA from 3 species